rnacentral:misc_RNA from 1 species
AUAAAUGCCCGACACUGAGAUUCCCAGUGCUCCUUAGCAAGCCUAAGCCUCUCUACUCUCUCGGUCUGAAGGCGCUCUUUCCAGUACUCGGGGCAACUUCUACUCAGUAGAAUGUUAAGCUCUUCCAGAUGCACAGCACUUUCAUACACUCCUUCCUCUCGGCAGAGAGGGCAUUUUUCCUUGUGAUUUGCCGCUUGCAGUCCAUCAACUAUGGUCACUGAUGCAACUUUGCAAGCACAGAUAUAGCAGAAUAUAUGACCACAAGUGAGAGAUACUGGGUCAAAU